UGGGGAAUAUUGCGCAAUGGGCGAAAGCCUGACGCAGCAACGCCGCGUGAGUGAUGAAGGCCUUCGGGUCGUAAAGCUCUGUCGGAGGGAACGAAUGCUCCUGAAGUUAACAGCCUCAGGAGGUGACGGUACCCUCAAAGGAAGCACCGGCUAACUCUGUGCCAGCAGCCGCGGUAAUACAGAGGGUGCAAGCGUUGUUCGGAAUCAUUGGGCGUAAAGGGCGCGUAGGCGGCAUGACAAGUCACUUGUGAAAUCUCUGGGCUUAACCCAGAACGGCCAAGUGAUACUGUCGCGCUAGAGUGCAGAAGGGGCAAUCGGAAUUCUUGGUGUAGCGGUGAAAUGCGUAGAUAUCAAGAGGAACACCUGAGGUGAAGACGGGUUGCUGGGCUGACACUGACGCUGAGGCGCGAAAGCCAGGGGAGCAAACGGGAUUAGAUACCCACGUAGUCCCUGAGCGGGCUGGCAAGGCGCAU
rnacentral:rRNA from 1 species